GCGCGCAUAGCUCAGUCGGUAGAGCAGUGGCCUUUUAAGCCAACGGUCGGGGGUUCGAAUCCCUCUGCGCGCA
rnacentral:tRNA from 1 species